CCUACGGGAGGCAGCAGUGGGGAAUAUUGCACAAUGGGGGAAACCCUGAUGCAGCCACGCCGCGUGAGUGAAGAAGGACUUCGGUAUGUAAAGCUCUAUCAGUAGGGAAGAAAAUGUUUGUACCUGACUAAGAAGCCAUGGCCAACUACGUGCCAGCAGCCGCGGUAAUACGCAGGGGGCAAGCGUUAUACGGAUUUACUGGGUGUAAAGGGAGCGUAGACGGGCAGACAAGUCAGAAGUGAAAGCUCUGGGCUCAACCCUGGGACUGCUUUGUAAACUGGCGGGCUGGAGUGCAGGAGAGGGAGGCGGAAUUCCUGGUGUAGCGGUGAAAUGCGUAGAUAUUAGGAGGAACACCGGUGGCGAAGGCAGCUUACUGGACUGUAACUGACGUUGAGGCUCGAAAGCGUGGGGAGCAAACAGGAUGAGAUACCCGGGUAGUC
rnacentral:rRNA from 1 species